rnacentral:rRNA from 1 species
UGCUAUACAUGCAGUCGAGCGGACAGAUGGGAGCUUGCUCCCUGAUGUUAGCGGCGGACGGGUGAGUAACACGUGGGUAACCUGCCUGUAAGACUGGGAUAACUCCGGGAAACCGGGGCUAAUACCGGAUGGUUGUCUGAACCGCAUGGUUCAGACAUAAAAGGUGGCUUCGGCUACCACUUACAGAUGGACCCGCGGCGCAUUAGCUAGUUGGUGAGGUAACGGCUCACCAAGGCGACGAUGCGUAGCCGACCUGAGAGGGUGAUCGGCCACACUGGGACUGAGACACGGCCCAGACUCCUACGGGAGGCAGCAGUAGGGAAUCUUCCGCAAUGGACGAAAGUCUGACGGAGCAACGCCGCGUGAGUGAUGAAGGUUUUCGGAUCGUAAAGCUCUGUUGUUAGGGAAGAACAAGUGCCGUUCAAAUAGGGCGGCACCUUGACGGUACCUAACCAGAAAGCCACGGCUAACUACGUGCCAGCAGCCGCGGUAAUACGUAGGUGGCAAGCGUUGUCCGGAAUUAUUGGGCGUAAAGGGCUCGCAGGCGGUUUCUUAAGUCUGAUGUGAAAGCCCCCGGCUCAACCGGGGAGGGUCAUUGGAAACUGGGGAACUUGAGUGCAGAAGAGGAGAGUGGAAUUCCACGUGUAGCGGUGAAAUGCGUAGAGAUGUGGAGGAACACCAGUGGCGAAGGCGACUCUCUGGUCUGUAACUGACGCUGAGGAGCGAAAGCGUGGGGAGCGAACAGGAUUAGAUACCCUGGUAGUCCACGCCGUAACGAUGAGUGCUAAGUGUUAGGGGUU